UAUCUUUGAUCUCUUGCCUCUUUAUCUUCCAAACCUAAAAUGUUUACCACCUGGCCCUUUACAGAAAAAUAUUUGCCAGUCCCUGCUGUAGAAGGUUAUAUAGCCAGCAGCUUUCAAAGUAACCUUUUACCUGGAAAUGUGAAUUCUCUCUUAGUUCUGGUCAUCUGUUAUUUGUGGGAGCCAAUCCUCUCUCUGUUGGCUGAUGAUGAGAAUUCUGUUAUAUACCACAACACAAACUUGGGGAUAAAACUUUCCAUUAGGCAUUUCUGUAAAAUUUCCAUCUAUUUUAGAAGCAGAACUAAGGUGAAGCCCAGUGUGAAUGAAUCCUGCUUGUUGGUACAAGCCAAGUGGGACAUUUGGCAGCAAAGCCCAGGAGUCCUUGGUGCUCUUCUUUUAACUGCCUCCUCAUCUCAUUGGGCUGCCCGGUGUUAACUGGUUGAUUAUCACCUCUGUGUUUUGCCUGCAAGGAAAGAAGCUACUGACACCCAGAGUGGCUCAGCGAUACUCACACGUGCUUUCAGUUACUUUCGCAGCAUUUGGUUAAAGUGAGUUUAGCUGCACAUCCUCACUUGGUAACAUUCUGUGGCUGUGAAAAUUGUUUCUCUCUU